rnacentral:rRNA from 1 species
AUUGAACGCUGGCGGCAGGCCUAACACAUGCAAGUCGAACGAGUGGCGGACGGGUGAGUAAUGUCUGGGAAACUGCCUGAUGGAGGGGGAUAACUACUGGAAACGGUAGCUAAUACCGCAUACCAUCAGAUGUGCCCAGAGGGGAUUGGCUUGUUGGGGGGGUAACGGCUCACCAAGGCGACUAUCCCUAGCUGGUCUGAGAGGAUGACCAGCCAGCCGUGAACGAGGCAACGGUCCAGACUCCUACGGGAGGCAGCAGUGGGGAAUAUUGCACAAUGGGCGCAAGCCUGAUGCAGCCAUGCCGCGUGUAUGAAGAAGGCCUACGGGUUGUAAAGUACUUUCAGCGGGGAGGCGUUACCCGCAGAAGAAGCACCGGCUAACUCCGUGCCAGCAGCCGCGGUAAUUC